rnacentral:rRNA from 1 species
UACGUAGGGGGCGAGCGUUGUCCGGAAUCAUUGGGCGUAAAGAGCGUGUAGGCGGCCGUACAGGUCAGCUGUGAAAACUCGAGGCUCAACCUCGAGACGUCGGUUGAAACCGUACGGCUAGAGUCCGGAAGAGGAGAGUGGAAUUCCCGGUGUAGCGGUGAAAUGCGCAGAUAUCGGGAAGAACACCCGUGGCGAAGGCGGCUCUCUGGGACGGUACUGACGCUGAGACGCGAAAGCGUGGGGAGCGAACAGG